UGCGUAGACGGUCUCGUAAGUCGGAUGUGAAAUCCCCGGGCUCAACCUGGGAAUUGCAUUCGAAACUGCAAGGCUUGGGUGCGGAAGAGGGAAGCGGAAUUUCCGGUGUAGCGGUGAAAUGCGUAGAUAUCGGAAGGAACAUCAGUGGCGAAAGCGGCUUCCUGGUCCAGCACCGACGUUCAGGCACGAAAGCGUGGGGAGCAAACAGGAUUAGAUACCCUGGUAGUCCACGCCAUAAACGAUGAGAACUAGACGUUGAGAGGGUAAGCCUCCCAGUGUCGUAGCUAACGCGCUAAGUUCUCCGCCUGGGGAGUACGGCCGCAAGGUUGAA
rnacentral:rRNA from 1 species